UUACGACCAUAUCAGGUUGGAACACCAGUUCUCGUUCGAUCAUUAAUGUUAAGCAACGUUGAACCUGGUCAGUACCUAGAUGGGUGACCGCGUUAGAAUACGAAAUGCUGUAUGC